AGCAGCCGCGGUAAUUCCAGCUCCAAUAGCGUAUAUUAAAGUUGUUGCAGUUAAAAAGCUCGUAGUUGAAUUUUGGGAUGGGGCAGUUGGUCGUGCCACUGGUAUGUACUGGCUUUACUGAUUCCUCCUUCUUGACGAACUGUGAUGCCAUUAAUUUGGUGUUGCAAGAAAUCAGGACUGUUACUUUGAAAAAAUUAGAGUGUUUAAAGCAGGCUAACGCUUGAAUACAUUAGCAUGGAAUAAUGAAAUAGGACGUUGAUCCUAUUUUGUUGGUUUCUAGGAUUGACGUAAUGAUUAAUAGGGAUAGUUGGGGGCAUUAGUAUUCAAUUGUCAGAGGUGAAAUUCUUGGAUUUAUUGAAGACUAACUACUGCGAAAGCAUUUGCCAAGGAUGUUUUCAUUAAUCAAGAACGAAAGUUAGGGGAUCGAAGACGAUCAGAUACCGUCGUAGUCUUAACCAUAAACUAUGCCGACUAGGGAUCGGAUGAUGUUAAUUUUUUAAUGACUCA
rnacentral:rRNA from 1 species